CAAAAAGCAGAGAGGUGAGCAGAGAAAUGGAGCAGAGCUGGUCCUUUUCUCCUCUUCUCUCUCCUAUUUUCCCUCUCCUUUUGCCAUCUCUACUUUCCUUUCUAGUUUAGGUUUCUCACUUUUUUUAAAAAAAAUAAAACAAAAUAAAAUUAAAAUCCAAAGCGUCUUCACUCUUAAAUCCAAUUGAAUCAGCUCUCACUCUCCUUUAAAUUCCAAAGAAAAUGUGGCUUUCUGGAGUUGAUUUAUUCAUAAUUUCCCAUUCCCAUUCCCACUUCUAAUUUCUGUUUCUCUUUUCUUUCUCUGUUACUCUUUUCUUUUUCAAAUACUCGUUUUGUGACUUUCUUUAUUCUUCUUUCUUUUGCUUUUGGUUCUGGACAUCGGUGAUAAGCAUUUAGGGUUUGGAUGAGCUUUGCGAAUUCCACUACUAUUCAACUUAUUCAGAGGCAACAGAAUAAUGCGGAAAGGUCACUCUGACUUAUCAUCAGUUGAAGAAGGUAGUAGGAGAGGCAGCAUGAGAGAAAGCUGUCAUUUAAAGAAAGGACCUUGGACUUCAACAGAAGAUGCGAUUCUAGUGGACUAUGUAAAGAAACAUGGUGAGGGGAAUUGGAAUGCUGUCCAGAAAAACUCGGGACUUUCCCGAUGUGGGAAAAGCUGUCGCUUGCGUUGGGCAAACCACCUAAGACCGGAUUUGAAGAAGGGCGUAUUCACUACAGAGGAAGAGCGCCGCAUAAUUGAGCUACAUGCUAAGUUGGGAAACAAAUGGGCACGAAUGGCUGCAGAGUUGCCUGGACGUACUGAUAAUGAGAUAAAGAACUACUGGAAUACAAGAAUUAAGAGACUGCAACGUGCUGGCUUGCCAAUUUACCCUCCUGACCUGUGCUUGCAAGUGAAUAGAAGUCAAGAAGAGAGUCAGAAUGCGGCUUCACUGCCAAAUGGGGACUCAUAUGCUUCCAAUCUCUUGCAGUCAGAUGCAUUUGAGAUUCCACGUGUGGAAUUUGAGAAUUUAGAGCUCAACCAAGGAUGUUUGUCUUAUUCACCAAUGCUUCACGACAUUCCUGCAAACACUAUGCUUAAACGAGUUGGUUCAUCCUAUGGUUAUGGCCUUAUGUUCCCAAUAGCACAUCCUACUAAGCGUCUUCGGGAAAGUGUAAGCAAUUAUUUCUCAAUGCCCAACCAAUUGACGGAAAAUGCUUACAGGAAAAGAUUUGAUGGGCCCUUCGAGAUUUCUUCUCCAUAUGAUUCCAAUCUCAAUACCAAUGACCAGCCAUCAUUUGGUAUUCCUCCUGGCAGUGAUGCCCCAUUAAAUAGCAAUUUCUCUCCUUCUGAGCCCAUGUCUGGGCCUAUCAAGUUGGAGCUCCCUUCAUACCAAUAUUCAGAUACUCAAGAAGAUAGCUGGGUCAAUCCUGCAUACCCACUACCUUUAGUUGAGUCUGUUGAUAAUCUGAUCCAGUCCCCCUCAGUAGAGCAGGCUAAGUCAGAUUAUCUUACACCACAAAAUAGUGGUCUCUUGGAAGCAGUACUUCAUGAGUCACAGAAACUUAAAACCUCAAAGGAUGAUUCAUGUCAGCAGUCUUCUUCUACUUCUGUGCUUGAUGAUGUUACCAAUUUCUCCCUAAACCAUUGUGAGAUGGAAUUUGAAGCACAUUGUGACCCAAAUUCUCCUUUAGCUCAUUCUGCUGCAUCAGUUUUUAGUGAGUUCACUCCUGUUAGUGGAAGCUCUUCAGAUGAACCACAAUUUAUUGAGAGCAUUCUGGGAUGCAAUGCCAAGAACGAGACUCCGAGUCAAAUGGCUGUUUCCAGGCUAGAUGAUUUUAUUGGACCAGGUCAGUUUGGCCAUAACAAUGGUUGUGUGAGGGAUAAACCAAGUGUGACAGAUGCUAUAGCGGCACUUCUUGGUGAAGAUACUUACUGUGGCUACUAGCAAACUCUUAUUGUUUGUGAGAUGCUUGUAUGUUCAUCAACCUUCCAAAAAUCAUUGAAACCGAUUGAAACUUCAAUUGCCAGUAUUAUCUUUCAUCUUGUGGGCAGUGGAAGUUUUCUAUGAGAGUGCUAGCACUCAGAAGUCAAAACUAUUGGCUGCUGUUCAAUGAACUACUGAUUCCAAUUUGCUCAUUUCAUUUAAUACCACAACCGUUUGCCAGAGAUCAUGCCAUGUUGGUAGGGAAUUAAAU